UACGUAGGUGGCAAGCGUUAUCCGGAUUCACUGGGUGUAAAGGGAGCGUAGACGGCGACGCAAGUCUGGAGUGAAAGCCCGGGGCCCAACCCCGGGACUGCUCUGGAAACUGCGGCGCUGGAGUACGGGAGGGGCAGGCGGAAUUCCUGGUGUAGCGGUGAAAUGCGUAGAUAUCAGGAGGAACACCGGCGGCGAAGGCGGCCUGCUGGACCGUGACUGACGUUGAGGCUCGAGAGCGUGGGGAGCAAACAGG
rnacentral:rRNA from 1 species